rnacentral:rRNA from 1 species
AGUGAACGCUGGCGGUAGGCCUAACACAUGCAAGUCGAACGGCAGCACAGUAAGAGCUUGCUCUUACGGGUGGCGAGUGGCGGACGGGUGAGGAAUACAUCGGAAUCUACUUUUUCGUGGGGAUAACGUAGGGAAACUUACGCUAAUACCGCAUACGACCUACGGGUGAAAGCAGGGGAUCUUCGGACCUUGCGCGAUUGAAUGAGCCGAUGUCGGAUUAGCUAGUUGGCGGGGUAUAGGCCCACCAAGGCGACGAUCCGUAGCUGGUCUGAGAGGAUGAUCAGCCACACUGGAACUGAGACACGGUCCAGACUCCUACGGGAGGCAGCAGUGGGGAAUAUUGGACAAUGGGCGCAAGCCUGAUCCAGCCAUACCGCGUGGGUGAAGAAGGCCUUCGGGUUGUAAAGCCCUUUUGUUGGGAAAGAAAAGCAGCAGGUUAAUACCCCGCUGUUCUGACGGUACCCAAAGAAUAAGCACCGGCUAACUUCGUG